UUGCUGUGAUGAUGCAGUCAACUGGUUGAAAGUAUUUUUGGACCAUUAUGUCCAUCCUGAGUGGUUACCCGAGCAA
rfam:Citrus sinensis cultivar Ridge Pineapple sweet orange scaffold00059_contig_40, whole genome shotgun sequence.